CAGCACCAAAACCACUGUGGUAAUAGCCAUUGUGUGCAGCAUUGUUCUAAUCGCUCUUCUUGUUGUCGUAGGAUGGAUUUAUACAUCAAGGCGCAAUAAAGUAAAAGAAGAAAAUGUAGCUGGGGCUCGGACAUCUGAUCAUAGAAGUCCAGAUACUCUGACAGAAGAACCAUUAUAUGCAAAUGUGAAUAAUGAAAAGAACACGACUGCAAAUAAUGAUCCAGAACUGGACAACUCCUCUAUUACUUAUGCUUUGCUGAAUCUUACAGCCGAGAACAAUGGUAUCAGAGUGCAUAUUCCUAAUCAGUUUGCCGAAUAUGCUACUGUUGUUACUAAUGCAAAGAACCCAAAAUGAUGACAUUUCUCUGCUCUUUUUAUAUUGUAUGAACUGCACUAUUCUGAAAGGAAUCAGGAUAUGUGCCUAAAUGCUUUGAUAGUUUACAGAAGCUUUGUGUACUGUCAGCUUUUACUGAAACUUGACAGUCAGUUGCAGCCCAGAGAUUCCAUGCUACAUUUCUGCAUACUGCAAAUUACAAAAAUGCCAUACGUGCAGCACCAAUGCAGUUACCACAUCAGAAAUCACGAAUAAAUGUUCGAUCAUAAUCAUUAGUAUUUGCAGGUCUAAAACAUAUUAAAAUACUGAAUAUUAUUUUUAUUUCAAUGGUGUGCCAUAUAAGUCAAGAAUUCAUUGUUGACCAUAACAAUUUAUGUAACAGUGGACACUAUUUAAAAGAGACAUGCACUGAAACUCAUCUGAGGCAUAUCAUUUUGAUGACUUGAAUAUGGCAUGAAAGUGUGGAAGAAUUAAAAUACAAAGUAGAACAAAAACAAGGUGAUAUGCUUUAACCCCACUCAGGUUACUUAAGCAAUACACUUCACUUGCACAUGUACAAGCACAAACAAAAAAGGAGAAGGGCAGGCUUCAUUUUAUUCCUUACAACAAGCCAAACAUUUAAGCACACAUUGCAGAGUAUACUUUAAAAACACUGAGUGUUUGUGUACCAGUUUAUUUCACUAGCUUGUAGCAUGAUUCUGCAAUUUGUAAUGCAACAGAUGUCUGGGGCGGCACCAUGUAAUCUCAUACACUCUGCUCCAAUAUGACUCGGUUCUGCAAUCAACUCUAAUGGUACAGGGGUUCAAAUCUGCAUUCUGUCUGCUUGGCCUUAUUUUUCCUGUGCUCCACGUAUGUUAUAAAGUAGUAGGUGUCCCCAAAUGUUUCACUAAUGCGUUGGUGGCACUUUUGCAUUAUGGUGGAUUCAGACUGAAGAGCAGCAAUAACAGAGUGUGCAGUCAGGUCCAACUCAUUUCAGUUAAAUAGUUGCUGGUUUCUACCAGCCAGGGUUUAUUCCCUCAGCCUUCAUUUGCAGUCAUUUACUCAGUUCUUUCAGGCUGAGUCUGAAAAAUAUCCACGCGGAUCAGUGUUCUACCUUGUCUUACAAAUGCAAAACAAAAAAACAAAAAUUAGCAGUGGAUUUUAAAAGCUAUUGGAGGGAAUCUGGCAACAGAGUCACCGAAUAUAAGACAUUCAUUUAGGCCUGCUAAAGUGGAGCGUUAUAAGAGGAUAACAUUGACUAUUAAUACAGUAGUGCAUGUAAGUCCGAAAUAUAUUAUGCAGGUAACUGCAGACUGUGAUAAUAAUACUCAUUUGUUAACCAAAGACCACCCAGGAGCAAUAUCUGGUAAACUGACUUGUUCAAGGUCAUACAGUAGGCACAUGAGGGCUGAGGGAAUUAAACUCUGUACCACAGUUCACAGCCUUGGCCCUCUGUGCCAACUGCCAGACUAAGGAAGAUAUUACUGAAAGUGUGGCACAAUACAGAUUAUUUAGUUAGCCAUGGGCAAUAUUGCUGUUGUUAGAAAUGUAAGGCAUGUGAACAAUCUGACAAAUGAUGAUGAAGUAGUCACUCCUAAUUCUGAAAUGUGUUAUUUGUAUUUGUUUUCUGGAGAAGAGCUCUGAUCUAUGUGGACCAUUUUCAGACCCAGCCUGGGUGUGGUAUCUGGGUAAGUGACCUGCUCUGAGUCAUACGGUUAGGCAAUGGAGACAGAGCGGAUCAAACCUUGCACCACUGGACAACAAAUAAAAGAGAAUGAAAAAUAAAACCAUUUGUAAAAAGCAUUAUGGUAUACAAGCCCAGAGAACAUUUCUGGUCUGAGCCAAGACUAUGAAUUACUCUUUGUUUUGGAGAUCUACAGGUAUGAAGUACAUUUCUGAUAAGUGUCCACAUAUCAGUCUGACCUAUCAAACACGAUUAUGUCAUUUAAGUGUAACAAAUCAUUGUUAAAAUUAUUAAACAUGAUCUAAAAAAAUAAUGUAAUAAUGUAAAAUUCAU